UACGUAGGGUGCGAGCGUUAAUCGGAAUUACUGGGCGUAAAGCGUGCGCAGGCGGUUUCUUAAGUCAGAUGUGAAAGCCCCGGGCUUAACCUGGGAACUGCGUUUGAAACUGGGAGACUUGAGUGUGGCAGAGGGGGGUGGAAUUCCACGUGUAGCAGUGAAAUGCGUAGAUAUGUGGAGGAACACCGAUGGCGAAGGCAGCCCCCUGGGUUAACACCGACGCUCAUGCACGAAAGCGUGGGGAGCAAACAGG
rnacentral:rRNA from 1 species